rfam:Coxiella-like endosymbiont strain CRt, complete genome.
AAAGACCUUCAGGGCGGGGUGAAAGUCCCUAAUGGCUGUGAUUUUUUUUGUAAAAUGAGCCCGCAAGCUUCUCUCAGUUUGGGAGGGCAGAUAGUGAAUUCCAGAGCUGACGGUUAAAGUCUGGAUGGAAGAAAGUGGGG